GUGUGUUUUGUUAUGUUGUGUUGUAUUGUGUGUUGUCCCGAUGUGUGUUGUUGUUUGUGGGCUCCGAAUUUNCAGCAACAAACANNCCCGGGUUUGGGUUGGCNGUUGGUGGUGUCUUUGCUAAGGGGGGUUUGCUGGGGUGGUCAAAUGGNAGUUACGGGUAA
rnacentral:rRNA from 1 species